rnacentral:rRNA from 1 species
GCGGCGUGCUUAACACAUGCAAGUCGAACGGAAAGGCCCUGCUUUUGUGGGGUGCUCGAGUGGCGAACGGGUGAGUAACACGUGAGUAACCUGCCCUUGACUUUGGGAUAACUUCAGGAAACUGGGGCUAAUACCGGAUAGGAGCUCCUGCUGCAUGGUGGGGGUUGGAAAGUUUCGGCGGUUGGGGAUGGACUCGCGGCUUAUCAGCUUGUUGGUGGGGUAGUGGCUUACCAAGGCUUUGACGGGUAGCCGGCCUGAGAGGGUGACCGGCCACAUUGGGACUGAGAUACGGCCCAGACUCCUACGGGAGGCAGCAGUGGGGAAUAUUGCACAAUGGGCGGAAGCCUGAUGCAGCAACGCCGCGUGCGGGAUGACGGCCUUCGGGUUGUAAACCGCUUUCGCCUGUGACGAAGCGUGAGUGACGGUAAUGGGUAAAGAAGCACCGGCUAACUACGUGCCAGCAGCCGCGGUGAUACGUAGGGUGCGAGCGUUGUCCGGAUUUAUUGGGCGUAAAGGGCUCGUAGGUGGUUGAUCGCGUCGGAAGUGUAAUCUUGGGGCUUAACCCUGAGCGUGCUUUCGAUACGGGUUGACUUGAAGAAGGUAGGGGAGAAUGGAAUUCCUGGUGGAGCGGUGGAAUGCGCAGAUAUCAGGAGGAACACCAGUGGCGAAGGCGGUUCUCUGGGCCUUUCCUGACGCUGAGGAGCGAAAGCGUGGGGAGCGAACAGGCUUAGAUACCCUGGUAGUCCACGCUGUAAACGGUGGGUACUAGGUGUGGGGUCCAUUCCACGGGUUCCGUGCCGUAGCUAACGCUUUAAGUACCCCGCCUGGGGAGUACGGCCGCAAGGCUAAAACUCAAAGGAAUUGACGGGGCCCCGCACAAGCGGCGGAGCAUGCGGAUUAAUUCGAUGCAACGCGUAGAACCUUACCUGGGUUUGACAUGGAUCGGGAGUGCUCAGAGAUGGGUGUGCCUCUUUUGGGGUCGGUUCACAGGUGGUGCAUGGCUGUCGUCAGCUCGUGUCGUGAGAUGUUGGGUUAAGUCCCGCAACGAGCGCAACCCUUGUUCACUGUUGCCAGCACGUUAUGGUGGGGACUCAGUGGAGACCGCCGGGGUCAACUCGGAGGAAGGUGGGGAUGACGUCAAGUCAUCAUGCCCCUUAUGUCCAGGGCUUCACGCAUGCUACAAUGGCUGGUACAGAGAGUGGCGAGCCUGUGAGGGUGAGCGAAUCUCGGAAAGCCGGUCUCAGUUCGGAUUGGGGUCUGCAACUCGACCUCAUGAAGUCGGAGUCGCUAGUAAUCGCAGAUCAGCAACGCUGCGGUGAAUACGUUCCCGGGGCUUGUACACACCGCCCGUCAAGUCAUGAAAGUUGGUAACACCCGAAGCCGGUGGCCUAACCGUUGUGGGGGAGCCGUCGAAGGUGGGACUGGUGAUU